UGGGGAAUAUUGCACAAUGGGCGCAAGCCUGAUGCAGCCAUGCCGCGUGUGUGAAGAAGGCCUUCGGGUUGUAAAGCACUUUCAGCGGGGAGGAAGGCGUUAAGGUUAAUAACCUUGGCGAUUGACGUUACCCGCAGAAGAAGCACCGGCUAACUCCGUGCCAGCAGCCGCGGUAAUACGGAGGGUGCAAGCGUUAAUCGGAAUUACUGGGCGUAAAGCGCACGCAGGCGGUCUGUCAAGUCGGAUGUGGAAUUCCCGGGCUCAACCUGGGAACUGCAUUCGAAACUGGCAGGCUAGAGUCUUGUAGAGGGGGGUAGAAUUCCAGGUGUAGCGGUGAAGUGCGUAGAGAUCUGGAGGAAUACCGGUGGCGAAGGCGGCCCCCUGGACAAAGACUGACGCUCAUGUGCGAAAGCGUGGGGAGCAAACAGG
rnacentral:rRNA from 1 species